GGGUAGUUUGACUGGGGCGGUCUCCUCCUAAAGAGUAACGGAGGAGCACGAAGGUUGGCUAAGCAUGGUCGGACAUCAUGCGGUUAGUGCAAAGGCAUAAGCCAGCUUGACUGCGAGAGUGACGGCUCGAGCAGGUACGAAAGUAGGUCUUAGUGAUCCGGUGGUUCUGAAUGGAAGGGCCAUCGCUCAACGGAUAAAAGGUACUCCGGGGAUAACAGGCUGAUACCGCCCAAGAGUUCAUAUCGACGGCGGUGUUUGGCACCUCGAUGUCGGCUCAUCACAUCCUGGGGCUGAAGUAGGUCCCAAGGGUAUGGCUGUUCGCCAUUUAAAGUGGUACGCGAGCUGGGUUUAGAACGUCGUGAGACAGUUCGGUCCCUAUCUGCCGUGGGCGUUGGAAGAUUGAGAGGGGUUGCUCCUAGUACGAGAGGACCGGAGUGAACGCACCACUGGUGUUCGGGUUGUCAUGCCAAUGGCAUUGCCCGGUAGCUAAGUGCGGAAGAGAUAACCGCUGAAAGCAUCUAAGCGGGAAACUUGCC
rnacentral:rRNA from 1 species